rnacentral:tRNA from 1 species
CGAGCUUGGAAGAACUAACAAGAACUGCUAAUUACUUGCCAUCGUGGUUUGACUCCGCGACAAACUCGGC